rnacentral:rRNA from 1 species
AAUGAACGUUGGCGGCGUGGAUUAGGCAUGCAAGUCGAAUGAAUCUCAGGUAGCAAUACUUGGGGGAAAUGGCGAAAGGGGCAGUAAUGUAUGGGUAACCUACCCGGGGGUCGUGGAUAGCCGUCCUAACGGACGGGUAAUACACGGCGAUUCGACGAGGGGACAUCCUCUUGUCGGGAAAGAAUUUCGCCUCCGGAGGGGCUCAUAUCGUAUUAGCUAGUUGGUGAGGUAACGGCUCACCAAGGCGAAGAUGCGUAGCGGGUGUGAGAGCACGACCCGCGCCACUGGCACUGAGACACUGGCCAGACACCUACGGGUGGCUGCAGUCGAGGAUCUUCGGCAAUGGGCNCAAGCCUGACCGAGCGACGCCGCGU